ACGAACGCUGGCGGCGUGCCUAAUACAUGCAAGUAGAACGCUGAAGAGAGGAGCUUGCUCUUCUUGGAUGAGUUGCGAACGGGUGAGUAACGCGUAGGUAACCUGCCUUGUAGCGGGGGAUAACUAUUGGAAACGAUAGCUAAUACCGCAUAACAAUGGAUGACACAUGUCAUUUAUUUGAAAGGGGCAAUUGUUCCACUACAAGAUGGACCUGCGUUGUAUUAGCUAGUAGGUGAGGUAAUGGCUCACCUAGGCGACGAUACAUAGCCGACCUGAGAGGGUGAUCGGCCACACUGGGACUGAGACACGGCCCAGACUCCUACGGGAGGCAGCAGUAGGGAAUCUUCGGCAAUGGGGGCAACCCUGACCGAGCAACGCCGCGUGAGUGAAGAAGGUUUUCGGAUCGUAAAGCUCUGUUGUAAGUCAAGAACGGGUGUGAGAGUGGAAAGUUCACACUGUGACGGUAGCUUACCAGAAAGGGACGGCUAACUACGUGCCAGCAGCCGCGGUAAUACGUAGGUCCCGAGCGUUGUCCGGAUUUAUUGGGCGUAAAGCGAGCGCAGGCGGUUUGAUAAGUCUGAAGUUAAAGGCUGUGGCUCAACCAUAGUUCGCUUUGGAAACUGUCAAACUUGAGUGCAGAAGGGGAGAGUGGAAUUCCAUGUGUAGCGGUGAAAUGCGUAGAUAUAUGGAGGAACACCGGUGGCGAAAGCGGCUCUCUGGUCUGUAACUGACGCUGAGGCUCGAAAGCGUGGGGAGCGAACAGGAUUAGAUACCCUGGUAGUCCACGCCGUAAACGAUGAGUGCUAGGUGUUGGAUCCUUUCCGGGAUUCAGUGCCGCAGCUAACGCAUUAAGCACUCCGCCUGGGGAGUACGACCGCAAGGUUGAAACUCAAAGGAAUUGACGGGGGCCCGCACAAGCGGUGGAGCAUGUGGUUUAAUUCGAAGCAACGCGAAGAACCUUACCAGGUCUUGACAUCCCGAUGCUAUUUCUAGAGGUAGAAAGUUACUUCGGUACAUCGGUGACAGGUGGUGCAUGGUUGUCGUCAGCUCGUGUCGUGAGAUGUUGGGUUAAGUCCCGCAACGAGCGCAACCCCUAUUGUUAGUUGCCAUCAUUCAGUUGGGCACUCUAGCGAGACUGCCGGUAAUAAACCGGAGGAAGGUGGGGAUGACGUCAAAUCAUCAUGCCCCUUAUGACCUGGGCUACACACGUGCUACAAUGGUUGGUACAACGAGUUGCGAGUCGGUGACGGCGAGCUAAUCUCUUAAAGCCAAUCUCAGUUCGGAUUGUAGGCUGCAACUCGCCUACAUGAAGUCGGAAUCGCUAGUAAUCGCGGAUCAGCACGCCGCGGUGAAUACGUUCCCGGGCCUUGUACACACCGCCCGUCACACCACGAGAGUUUGUAACACCCGAAGUCGGUGAGGUAACCUUUUGGAGCCAGCCGCCUAAGGUGGGACAGAUGAUUGGGGUG
rnacentral:rRNA from 1 species